CUCUUUUAUUUUACUUCUUUUUUUAAUUCAAUUUUUAUAUUAAAAAAAUUAAUAUUCCAUAGUAAAGCCAUAGAUGUGUGUAAUCUCUCUCUCCAUAAUUUUAAAUUGAUUAAUAAAAUAAUUUAGGGAAUAAAUUUUCGUUUGGAGUAAUCUGUUCGAGAACAAUCUACAUGAAGUUUCCUUCAUUCUAGUUUCUAGUGGUGAUAAUUUCGUUAAUAUGUAUUAUUGAUAAGGAUCAUACUUGUCAACGAAAUUAUCACUGUUAGGAACUGAGCGUUCUCGUUCAACCCGGUUACGGACAACAAUCCGGGAGCAAUCCUCAUUGUUCCGCAACACAAAGCACAAUAUAAAUAUACUCUCUUUCCGAUUGAACAAUUAUAAAUAUUCUCUCUAAAUCUCAUAGAGUGAAACAUCACUCAAAAAGAGUGAAAAUUGAACUUGUACAAUUUUUCGAGCGAUUUAUCACUCUAAUAAAAGUCAAAAUUUAUUCCUAUGUAAUUAGCUUUGGUAAGUGGGUACACCCAACAAUGUCUCAGGAAAAUUGUGAUUGUCCUGAGUAUAAUUUUCGUGUCAUUACUAACAAAUCUUCCGCAAGAGUAGACACUCCUCCUCCUGUUAUGAAAAAACCGGCGGAGAAAGCCUACCCUAGAGAGAGCAAACACCGAAGUGCAUGGUUUUUCCCGCCAAUUCCUGUGCCAAAAGUGACGUGGCCGGUUAUUAUCGAUCACACGGAUGAGUCAGACAGGUACAUGCAGCAACCGUAUUCCAUAUGGAGAUUGCAGACAAAGAUCACUCCUGGAGCGAUCAUGUAACAGAUAUCAGCUUGAAUAGACCUAAGUAAGAAAACAAGAUAUUCUCUACGAUAUAGAAGAAAAUACGAGGAGAAAUGCGGGCUGUACAAGAAGAACUUGAAAACAAAUCUUGGAAGGUAACAAUUUUAAUAUUAACAUAAUUUGUUUUAUGUCCUUAGAGUUUUUCUCUGAUUUACAGAAACAAGAUUUAUUGCGUAAACUUCUUUCAAUUAAAUUUCAAUAUAGAAAAUAAUCUAAUUAAUAAAAUUCACUACACUUCAAUAUUGAAAAUAGAAUAUUUUUCAAAUAUUAUGUUUCGUGCGUGUUCGUGGGUGUGUGUAUAAGUCGAUUGCAUCACCACACCCUUGCUGCGAACGAAAAAUUCCACAGCGAUUAUGAAAGUGAAUUUCUAAGAGAUAGAUAUAGAAUUGAAGAAAUAUAUACAUAUAUCAUUAUUUGUCUUCCUACCUUUCCUAAGUCUUUUUCACCGACGUAUAGUGACCUAUUUUCUAUCGAUCAACGAAAGAUAUUAUUUUUAAAAAUAUCUUUAACUAAGUCAAGAUCGAUAUAAUCUGUCACGUUGAUCUGCAGCUGGCAGAGCUAUAGUGUCUCGGCAGCAAGUCAUAGAAAGCGAUAUGCGUGCGAGGCUGAACACUUUGUGUACUACCUAUCCUAACGCAUACAUUAUUUAACAGUUUGUAAGAGUAGUACGAACCACUUAUAUUAGAGUUUUACAAACGUUUACACGGGAGAGCGAUGGAAAGUGUUCUAGCUACAGUCUUCAUUGAUGACAUUGAUAGUAGACUUCGAUUGCUACAACUAGCGCCGCUUCAAUCUGCACUGGUUUUAAUUUUUAUUGUAAUAAAGCAAAGUGCAUCGUCGGAAGUAACGCCGUCUGAGUAUAAAUAGAGAACAUGCAACAGCGAAGCGGCAAGAUGCUCGCCGAGAUAAGUGGACUAAAGAAGCAUUAAGAGUAAGAAGUGUUUGAACAUUUUACACAAGUUACGACAAUAAAGACGAGAAAAUUGAGAAAGGGUAAAAAAAAAUAAAUAAAUAAAAUAAAAUAGAGGCGCGCGGAUUUCGAUCUUUGUCCAUACUUGGGUUUUAAACAAAAAAUUAUUGCACUGUUUAAAAAUGAAGUUCUUCGUGGGUAUUUUGUUAAUACUUGUGACAAUGAUGUUAACCUUGGCAUCAUCGACCGUUAGUCAGGAGGAUAAGGAUGCAAUGAACAAACAGAACGUUAUUCUGCGUACAAUUAUAGAGGCACCAACAAGAACAACUGCAAGACCAUGUCCGGAAGAUCAGAGACAGGAUUCUAGAGGAACAUGUCGCACGCCCCUAUAAUGACCGAGAAACACAGGUAACCGUUUUUCUUUGAAAGAGUGUAUUUAGGUCUGUUGUCACAAGCAGAAGACAACGUAGAUUCUAAAUUGGUGUAAUUAACUCAAAACAAGUGUGAAAGUCGCUCUUCUUUUUCAAAUAAAAAAUAAAAUAGAAACAGGCCACGUAAACGCACAAAAAAUAAGGUAGUCACGUAAAGCUCAUUUAACUUAUUUUAUUUUUUAUAAACUCUAUUUAUGGAAUUAUUAAAAUAAACUAAGUGAGAAUAAAAUGCUUAUUUUAAUCCCUCACAAAAAUAAAAUUAUCUUCCACAUAGAGCAUUCAUAAAUAAACGAGAAAAUUUUUUCAAAGUAAAUACUUGUGUUUUUUAAUACUCGAAUCAAAAAUAAAUUGAAAAUAACCAAGAAACUAAGCAACACCUCUUAAUCGUGCUUAUCAUAAAACGCUUAUGAUAAUAUACUUAUAAUAAUAUGAUACAUAUGCGCUUAACAUAAAGCACAUUUUUGUGCCUAGAAAACUAUAAAUUAUAAAUGAAGGUUAAUUAAAGGUAAUUAACUCACGCAAAAUUGUACUUCAGAUUCGGAUUCAAUACAUACAUUUUUAAGAAAACUUUGUAUGCGUGCGAAACUAAAUACUUUGAAUGAUACAUUAUCCCAACGUGUAUAUUAGAGGAAUGUAUGUCGCUAAUACUGACAUACGCCUCAAAAAGUGACACCUUCUAUUUUUCGAAAACUAAACAUUGCACUAAAUUAAUAUCAAAUAAAAUAUGAUCUGUAUUUAAUUUAAGAAAUUAAAAUCUAUAGUUCAUAUAUUUAUGGCUUAUUUAUAUUAUAUAUCAAAUCAGCUAAAAACAAAUUUUUCAAAUGCGAGAAUAAAAUUUUGAUAGUCUUUUGUGAAUUGCAUAAUUUAAACAACGUGUGUAUUAUAGAUAAUAUUAGAUGAUUUUACACGUUUGUCUAAAAUUGUUCUGUGCUUAUAUUUUUUCUCUUUCUUAUUUUUCUCAUCGUGUUGUUUUAAAUAAUUGCUAAGAAGUAUAAACCGGUUUCAGUUCACUUUUCUGAUCAACACUAAAGACUGACAAUAAUUAAGAACAUGAUGCACAUUCGACAAAUGACUUGUGUAUUUUCUUUCUAAUAAAUUUUCUAUUUUUUUAUAAACUAUAAAAAUAAAUAAUAUUAUUCUUAUUUUCUAGUCUCUAAACUGCUUCUAUUUUUAAAAUGUUCAACUCUAAUCUUUUAUUAUAAUAUAAAAAUUCUUGUUUUAUGAAUGAAAAUAUAUUUUCUUAUUUAAUUCAUUUAUUUAUUUUAUAAUAAACUGUUUAAAAAUUAAUUCCUCUAUUACAAAGCAGCAUCUGAAUUAAUACCAGUUCUGUCAUUAUUGCUAUGUUUAGAAACGGUUUUAAAUAAUAUUGGUAGUAAAAAUUAAAUUUUAUAUACUCUUAUUUAUUCUUAACAGCAGCUUAUUACUUAUUUACAUUUUUUUAAAUUAUAUCAUUCACAUAUAUUAAAAUAUUUUAAUUAUAAUAAACUCAUUUUAAUAUUUAACUUUAUGAAAAUAAAUCUGUCCCAUUUCUCCACAUUAAAUUUUAUUAUUUAAUUCUAUUAGUUUUAAUCAUUUAAUUUCACUAUGGAAUUAUAAAUAAUUUAAAUAAUUAAAUUGAUUUAUUAAUAAUUAUCACCAAUGUACACGUAUUCAUUGUUUCUAUUUUUCUUAAUUUUAAGAAGAAUUAUUUAUUUUUUAUCAAUCUAACAAAAAAUAUAAAAUAAAUACGAAUCAAGCGCGGUAAACGGUAUGCAAAGAAUUGUCAUAAAAUAAAAUUAUAUAAUUACAUAAGGAUUUAAUUUUGAUAUUAUUUAUUUUUGUUUUUGUGUUUUUCUUUUCCUUCCUAUAAUUCACGUACCAAAUUUUUGCAGCUUUUAAUUAUUUUUAUAAAGUAAGUUUUUCAGACUCGAUUUUAGUUAUGUUAUCAAAACUUUAAUUCUUGCAAAAUACAAAACAGUAUUUAAAAUAUUACUACAAUAGAAGAAACUUUUUAUUUUAAAUUUAUAUUUUUGAAAGUUUAAUUUUAAUUUUUAGUUUAUUAUGUUUAAAAAGCAUCCAAAAGAACAAAAAUAAAAUGAUAUAACAAUAUUGGCGACCUUCCUCUAUUUAUUAGUUUAUUACAGUACAAACUCUACUUCGUUUAUAUUAAAUUUUUACAGAUGUUUACAUGGAAAAGAAAUGUAAUGCUCCAAAUGUGAUGUUGACGAUACUGAUACUAGUAGACUUCGAUUAUAACAACUAGCCUUUAAUUUGCUCGACUUUUAUUUCUAUUAUAAUGAAGUAAAGUGCAAGUGACGUCAGAGGUAACAUCUGGACUGCGUUCAGAAACAUUACUCGAACGCACCCAGGUGUCGUUUUGCCCUUAUUUAACAUUCAAUAAACAACAAGAAUAAAAAUGAUAUCUUUGAUGUUUCUGAAUACAGUCCUAAAUAUAGAUAAAGAAUAUUUAAGCGAAGCUGAAUAGUUGCCGAGUUAAGUAGAAUAAUGAAGUAUAAAGUCUACAGAAGAGAAGGAGGUAAUACGGCUCUUUCCCUUCAUUUAUAUUUUAUACAAUAAUUUUAUUUAUAAUCAAUAGUUUUAAUUAGCAACUUAACGAUUAUAUUCGUCAAUGUGCUCUUCAAUCGAUUCUAGACUUAAAGUUAGAUUUCUUAUUGUUAGGACAUUAUUUAUAUAAAUGUGACGAUAUUACAUGAAUCAAAGACAAAUAAAGGUGGUAAUGUGGUUCCUUCAUUAAAAUAAAUUUAACAAAUAGAUUUUGUUUAAAGAACAUAGAAUUUUGUAGUAAAAUGAUAUAUUUAAUCAAAAUAAAAUAAAUAAUUAAAAAAGAAGAUAUUGCAGAAUAAAUGCAAAUGUAUGUAGGAACGUACGUACAUAAAACUCUUCCUACAUAAAUUGUAUUACUGAAAAUCUGUAAUACACGUAAUGUAACUUAUAGAUUAGUAGUAGAAUAAUAAUAAAUUUAUUGAAUAACUUUGAAAAAGAGAUGAUAUUAUAGGCCUGUUUCAGUAUCAAGUUUAAGCAGCUACAUUAAUAAAAUUCCUGUUUAUAACAUUAUACACGUACAGUUGCAGAUAAUUAUCGGUGCAUUAGCGUAAUCUCUUGUAUCUUUCUUUAAAUAUCUUUUAAUGAUAAAAAGCAAUUUAAAAUAUAUACGUAUAACUAUCAGAGUCAGAAUCUCGGUGGGGUUUUUGCGAAAAACAACAUUGCCUACGUCGAUAGCGGUCUAACGCAGGGAACGAGAUACCAUCGCGUUCGAUUCUGCUUUUCGCAGCGCGCGAUGCUCGAGUGAGGGCUAAACGCUAUCAAGAUUUUUACAAUAGUUAAUAAAAUAAAUAAAGAAUUUUAGUUUAUAAACUUAGAAAUUAGUAGAAACCAAAGACGACAGGAAGGAAUCCUUAAUUCUAUUAUUAAGACUAAAAUAAAAAAUAAUCAUUAAUGUUAGAACAUAUAAAUAAAUUAUUUGAAAUUAGUGAAUAAAUAAUAAAAAAAAGAAAUAAUAAUUUAAAUAAAAAAAUAAAAAAGAUCAUGUAAAAAAAAUGAUAAUUACAUGUUUUGAUCUUUCGUUUGUAACGUGAUGGUUUGUGAUUGUAACUUCUCAUCUGAGUAAACAGAAACGUACUGAUUUAACCAGUUUUUUUCAAAAAAUGAUAAUUAUAGUUUAUAUAAGAAUCAGGAAAACGGGAUAGUUAUAAAACGGGAGAAGACGCAGAAAAGCAAUAUUGUGAGUUUACUUGCCGAAAGGAUAAAGUGUGUACUGAAGAUCCAGAUUGCAGUAAGUUAAGUAAAUCAAUAAAAAAAUUGAAAAAGAGAAAACAAAGAGAAAAAGCCAAAGAAAAGAGUGACACAAAAAUUUCUGAAAGUUCCUUCAGUUAUUUUAUAUCUAAUAAAAAAAGGUAAAUCAAGAAAUUAAGGUACAUAAUUUAAAGGUGUUCAAAGAGUAUUUAAACGUCUGAAAAAAGAUAUUGAUAAGACAUUUAGAAAAACUUUAGUAGAACAGAAAGAAAAGGUUUAUAUCGAACAUAUUCGAUAAAAUUUCGUGAAAAUAUAAAAUAUUACCUAGAUGAAACAUGACGUAUAAUUUGAUCUAAUAUUUUUUAGAUUUACGUGAAAAAUAUUAAGAUUCUCGCAACACGAUGAAAAUUUGUAUUAACGUUUUGCUGACAAUUAUGUUAAUGAUGACCAUGGUUAUAUCAUUAGGAAUAUGUAAUACGAUGAAAAUUCCACCUAGUACAAAAGAAAAUAUAACAACGACCACAACUCCACCUAGUACCACAGAAAAUAUAAGAACUACUACUUACAAUAAAUUUAAAAAAUGUCCUACACUUACCAUACUGAGCCUACCAGUAAACUCUACGGAAGGAAGGUAUCGUUACACGUGUCUUUAUAACAAUGGCACGCGAAAGAUACUCAGAGUCAGCUGCAAGAACAAGUGCAAAAUCAAUGCAAAACCAAUGUCUGGAAGGCCAGUGACAGGAUUAUAGAAGAAUAUGUCGCACAUCUAUGCCGCCAUGUAUCUACUUAAUGACCGAGAAACACAGAUGAUAAUGACAGCUCGCAAGAAUCAGGAAAACAGAAUGGCUAUAAAACGAAAAGAGACGUAGAAAAGCAAUAUUGUGAGUUCACUUGCUGAAAGGAUAAAAUGUGUAUUGAAGAUCCAGAUUACAGUGAGUAAUUCAGCAAGAAAAUCGAAAAAGAGAAAACAAAGAGAAAAAAAAACAAAGAAAAGUGUGACAUAAAAAUACCUGAAAGUUUCUUCAAGUUGUUUUAUAUCUAAUAAAAAAAAACUAAAUAAAGAAAUUAAGCAACAUAAUCUAAAAAUAUCCAAAAAGUAUCUGAACGUCUAAAAAAAGAUAUUAAUAAGACAUUUAGGAAAACUACAGAAAAACAGAAAGAGAAGAUUUAUAUCGAACGUAUUCUCGAUAAAACUUCGUAAAAAUAUAAAAUAUUACCUAAAUGAUAUAUGACGUAUAAUUUAAUAUGAUAUUUUUUAGAUUCACGUGAAAAAUAUUAAGAUUCUCAGUAACACAAUGAAAAUUUGUAUUAACGUUUUGCUGACGUUUUGCUAAUAAAUUAUGUUAAUGAUGAUCAUGCAGUCAUGUCACUAAGGACAUGUAACAUACAAUCACAACUUCACGUACAGAAAUAAGUAUUGUAAAAUACCCUCUACAGCCUCCAUUCGACAAAGGAUAUUUCGCCGGAGGAAUACCUAUCAGAUGCUUUUAUAAUACCAAUGGCGAGCUAAAGGUGCACAUAAAUAAUUAUUAAAUAUUUGUACUCAAUUCUUAUAACAGAGAAGUGAUAUAAACUUUCAAACAUAAUCGCAUCAGCAUUUUCAGUAAUAUAUAGUAAUGCAAAGUUGCAAGAAACAGGCAGAUUAUGUAGGUGAAUAUUGUUCAAGUUGUUAGAAAAAAAUGAAUUUUAGUGAUCAAAAUAAUUAAAAAUAGAAAUAAUACGAAGCGUAAUAUUAAUUUAAGUUUUUAAAAACAUUCAAACGUUUAUUCUGCUUUAUUUUAUAGUUAAAGACAAAUGACAGUGGUCAUGGAAUACAUUUGGUAUAGUGUAAUAUUAUGACAUCUUGUAUAAUUAGCAAUAAAUAUUAAGAACAAUUGUUAAAAUUACUUUGUUACAAUCUACUUAGAUAUUAUAGGAUAGUUACUGAUGAUAUAUGAAAGCUGAAUUUUAGUUUUGCAGGUAACAAGAAUUUUUACAGGUGUAUACUCUCUACGUAAUUUUGAGAAAUAUGUUGUAUAUUAAAUUUUUAACUUUAGUUUAAUUUGAAAGCCUUGAAUGUAAAUUUUAAAUAAUAUUAUUGAAUUUAAU